rnacentral:tRNA from 1 species
GGCGGGGUGGCAGAGUGGUUAUGCAGCGGCCUGCAAAGCCGUGUACAGCGGUUCGAUUCCGCUCCUCGCCUCCA